AGAGUUUGAUCCUGGCUCAGAACGAACGUUAGCGGCGCGCCUAACACAUGCAAGUCGCGCGGGAAAGGGCUUAGGCCCCAGUAAAGCGGCGCACGGGUGAGUAACACGUAGGUCAUCUGCCCCCCUGUGGUGGAUAACCCUCCGAAAGGAGGGCUAAUACAGCAUAAGACCACGACCCAUCCUGGGGUUGUGGCCAAAGCAGGCCAAUUCAUGAAAGCUUGCGCAGAGGGAUGAGCCUGCGGCCCAUCAGCUGGUUGGUAGGGUAACGGCCUACCAAGGCUACGACGGGUAGCUGGUCUGAGAGGAUGAACAGCCACACUGGAACUGAGACACGGUCCAGACUCCUACGGGAGGCAGCAGUGGGGAAUCUGGCGCAAUGGGCGAAAGCCUGACGCAGCGACGCCGCGUGAGCGAUGAAGGCCUUCGGGUUGUAAAGCUCUGUGGGGAGAGAAGAAUAAAGCCAGGCUAAUACCCUGGCUGAUGACGGUAUCUCCUUAGCAAGCACCGGCUAACUCUGUGCCAGCCGCCGCGGUAAUAC
rnacentral:rRNA from 1 species